UUCCCUCCCCCCACGCCGUGGGAGCAGUGGCGCAAACUGUUCCGAUUCCCGGGUCAGGUUCUGCAUCCAUGGAGCGAGCCGACGGGCCGAGUUCAGAACUUGCUAAGGCCAUCAAACCUAUCGAUCGGAAGUCAGUCCAUCAGAUUUGUUCUGGGCAAGUGGUUCUUAGUCUAAGCACUGCUGUGAAGGAGUUGGUAGAAAAUAGUGUGGAUGCCAGUGCCACUAACAUUGAGCUCAGGCUUAAAGACUACGGGGUGGAGCUCAUUGAAGUUUCAGACAACGGAUGCGGGGUAGAAGAAGAAAACUUUGAAGGCUUAACUCUGAAGCAUCACACUUCUAAGAUUCAGGAGUUUGCUGACCUCACUCAGGUUGAAACAUUUGGCUUUCGGGGGGAAGCUCUGAGCUCACUCUGUGCACUGAGUGAUGUAACUAUUUCCACCUGCCACACAUCUGCGAAGGUUGGGACUCGACUGGUGUUUGAUCACAAUGGAAAAAUCCUCCAGAAAACCCCCUACCCACGACCCAGAGGGACGACAGUCAGCGUGCAGCAGUUAUUUUAUACGCUACCUGUGCGCCAUAAGGAGUUUCAAAGGAAUAUUAAAAAGGAGUUCUCCAAAAUGGUCCAGGUCUUACACGCCUACUGUAUCAUUUCAGCGGGCGUCCGUGUAAGUUGCACCAAUCAGGUUGGACAGGGUAAGAGGCAGCCUGUGGUGUGCACCAGUGGAGGCUCCAGCAUGAAGGAAAAUAUCGGAUCUGUAUUUGGGCAGAAACAGUUGCAAAGCCUCAUCCCUUUUGUGCAGCUGCCCCCUAGUGACACUGUCCGUGAAGAAUACGGGCUGAGCCCUUCCCAGGCUCUGCGUAACCUGUUUUGUAUCUCAGGUUUUAUUUCUCACUGUGCUCACGGCGUGGGAAGAAGUUCAACGGACAGACAGUUUUUCUUUAUCAAUCGGCGGCCUUGUGACCCAGCAAAGGUUUCCAGACUUGUGAAUGAGGUCUAUCACAUGUAUAACCGGCAUCAGUAUCCAUUUGUUGUUCUUAACAUUUCUGUUGAUUUGGAAUGUGUCGACAUCAACGUUACUCCAGAUAAAAGGCAAAUUUUACUACAGGAGGAGAAGCUUUUGUUGGCAGUUUUAAAGACGUCUUUGAUAGGAAUGUUCGAUAGUGAUGUUAACAAACUGAACGUCAGUCAGCACCCGCUGUUUGAUGUCGAAGGUCACUUAAUAAAAAGGCAUUCGGCAGAGCUGGAGAAGCCCAUGCCAGGAAAGCAGGAUGAUCCCGCCCCGUUAAGGACUCGCGGGGAAGAGAAAAGGGCAGCGACCAUUUCCAGACUGAGAGAGGCCUUUUCCCUUCGUCACACAGUGGAGAACAAGUCACGGGGCCCGAAGGCCACCGACCCAAGACGGAUUUCUCCACGACAGAAAAGCAGCACCCCAUUUCCUAGCGCUUCAGGGCCCCUCUGCUCCUGGAAGCACAUCUCUGAACCUCAGGAGGAAGGGAUGACUUCCACUCAGGGGCCCUGUGACCCGAUGGUUAGAGUGGACACGGAAGAGGGCUGGGGGCACAGCAGCGCAUCUGCCGGCUCUGAGGAGGGGUCCAGCACCCCAAAAACGGGCAGCCACCCCAGCAGUGACCACGUGGCAAGCUCCCCCAAAGAUGGGUUUUCGCAAGAAAAUGUGGAGUCUUUGGAGAAGUUACCUGAAACUGACCAUCGUCUUUGGCGCACGAGUUGCCACUUGGACCACGAAGAAAGCGACUCCCGACCUAGAGUUUUGCUGCAACCUACGCCUCUCUCAUCCCCAAACGCAAAGCGUUUUAAGAAAGAAGGGGUUCCUUUAAAUCCCGAUGUCCCUCCAGAGUCCGUGAAAACUCAGAACGCUUUAGCAUCCGAGCUGGAUGUAGCUGUUGAAAUUAACAAGAAAAUAGUGCCCCUUGACUUUUCUAUGAGUUAUUUAGCCAAACGAAUAAAGCAGUUAUGUCAGCAAGAACAACAACGAGAAGGUGGACAAAAUUAUAGGAAGUUUCGGGCAAAGAUUUGCCCUGGAGAAAAUCAAGCAGCAGAAGAUGAACUGAGAAAAGAGAUAAGCAAAACGAUGUUUGCAGAAAUGGAAAUCAUUGGUCAGUUUAACUUGGGAUUUAUCAUCACCAAACUGAAUGCAGAUAUCUUCAUAGUGGACCAGCACGCCACGGAUGAGAAAUACAACUUCGAGAUGCUUCAACGGCACACUGCUCUCCAGGGGCAAAGGCUUAUAGCACCUCAGACUCUCAACUUAACGGCUGUCAAUGAAGCAGUUCUAAUAGAAAAUCUGGAAAUAUUCAGAAAGAAUGGCUUUGACUUUGUUAUCGAUGAAGAUGCCCCGGUCACUGAAAGAGCUAAAUUGAUUUCCUUGCCGACUAGUAAAAGCUGGACCUUUGGACCCCAGGACAUAGAUGAACUGAUCUUCAUGCUGAGUGACAGCCCCGGUGUCAUGUGCCGGCCUUCCCGGGUCAGGCAGAUGUUUGCCUCCAGGGCCUGUCGGAAGUCUGUAAGUAAAGAAGGCUUAUCUGCAGGAGCCUGAGGGGUCUGCUCUUGGGCCUUGGAAGUUCUCAGUUCAGCCCCUGACUUGUCAGCCUUAUUAAAUGUGGGUGAUGCUCGCUCUGGGCUGUGUGCGUGGAGCCCCACUGUCCUCAGCCAUUGUAACGCAUGAGCGCUGCACGUCUGCCUUAGGCCAGACCUCUGACCCAUAGUUACGGCUCUUUCUCAGCGCCCCUGAAGCAGCGUCCUCAGGGCUUUCGUCACUCCCACGCAGUUAGCUGGGUAUCCACGUUGUUCGUCUAUGGACCUCAUGGGUAUUAAUGACACUGGUGGGUAAAGAUUAGGUGCUGCCAAGCCCUCAAGGGCCCUGCACGAGAUUAUCCAGAACCCUGCAGUCAGCUCGCCUUUCACAGGAGCCCCAAGGGCGGGCACUGCGUAUUGUCUGGCUGCCGCGGCUCAGCCUGGUUCUAGAAGACGAUAGCAGUGGUUGGUGAUGAGCCUGAUGUCAAAGCAGAGCACGUGUGUUUGCGUCACCUGGCCCACCCCUUCAUUCACUCAGCAGAGACCCCUUCGGCCCCCGCUGGGUGGCCGGCCCUGGUCCGGGUGCUGGGGGCGCAGGUAACCCGGCAGAUGAGGUCCUUGCCCUCGUGGAGCUUAUAGUUUAGUGGGGGUAAUGGAUAUGACAUUAAUAACGGCAGCCUCAGAUACAGGUUCGGUCGGGGUGAGGCUGUCUGAGGAGGUGACCUCCCAGCUGACGCUUGGAAGGUGAGCUGGAGCCCCUUGGGAAAGAACUUUCCAGAUAGAAGAAAUAGCAAGUGCAAAGGUUCGGGGUGUUUGGCGAAGCCAGAGGCUGACCCCGUGUGACGGGUGGGGGACCAGGAUGGGAGUGGGGCCCCGUCUGGGGACCCACUUAAGGUCCUUGGGAUCCUGGUCCGAACCUGGGCGUCUGCGCUGCGCGUGUCAGGAGGUGCUGGAGGGUGACCAUGGGGAAGAGACCGCGGAGAGGGUGUCAUAACGGAAAUGAGGGGGUGGGGCAAGGGCUGCGGCAUUUUCAGCUUUGGGGGCAGUGGGGUUCAGCAUUCUCUGUUAGACACGCUGUAUCUGAGAUCCUAUUAGACGUGAGAGGAGGUGUCUGAGAACAGCCACGUCAGUGAAUCCAGAGCCAGGGGAAGUGUCGGUGCUGGAGAGAAAGGUUUAGGUUUUCUAAGUUACGGCCAUGGCGUUGGAUGAAAUUCCUCCAGGCAAGAGUUUGAUGAGAGAAUAGGGCCCAGGACCUGACUUCAGCCACAGAUGGUUCUUUGAUAAAGGCCUGACCUUGAUCUUCCCACCCUGGAGUCGGGGGUAGGAGUCAGAGCUGGGCCUGGCCUGUGCUGAUGGCCAGGUGUUCACAGUGCCGUGUCCUCGCGUGACGCAGAGAUCUUUGGGGCCACGGGCCGCUCCUCAGUCCCCAGGCUGGCGGGUCCCUGGCGCUGCAGCGCUGUCUCCGCGCAGCACACGGGCUGACGGGGGCGGGCUGUCCCCUGCUGCACCCGUGGGCCCCGUGUCCUACGCUCGGCUCUAGCCACGCCUGCCACACCAUCUCCUUCCCGCCCCAAGUCCUCGCCCGCCGUCCCUCUGCCUGGAUGCCCCGCUCCGCACGCCUUCUUCGCCCACCUGGCCCCCUCCCACCCUCGGGCCUCCCUGAGCACCCAACUGAAGUAGCCUCUCCUGGGUGCUCAGGCAGGCCCGAGGGCUACAGAGGACAGACACGCGAGCUCCUGCAUUGCGGGGAGGCAGGGACAUUGGAGCAGCAGCCUGCGGGAGAGGGAACAUGAGAGACGCAGAUAUCUGAGGGAAGCGUAUCCCGGGUAGAGGGCACAGCCAGUGACAAGGUCCUGAGGCAGGUACUCGCUCUAUGGGCUUGUACUAGAGGCGAGGGGGUGCCGGUGUGGCUGCAGUGGGGGCGGAAGGACUGCUUGCUUGCAGGUGUGGACACUAAGGCCGGUGAGGGCCAAGUCAGGUGAUGCACUUGGGCUUUUAUCCGGGUGGGGGUGGGGCUUCGAAGAGGAGCCACGUGAUCUGACACGCCUUUAAAAGGAAUCACUGGCCGCUCCUGGAGGACGAGUUGAAGGGAGAAGGAGGAAAGCGGGGAGGCUCGCCAGGAGGCCGCUGCAGUCGCCAUGGUGGGAGGUCGGGGUGGCUGGGAUGUGGAUGCUGGCGGAGCUGGUGAGACUGGUUGGUCCUGGACGGGAGUGGUCGGCGUCUCUCCUGAGGAUGUGCUGCCACGACAGAGCCACGGAGGGGCUGGAUUUCACAAAGAGGCCGAGGGCUGAGAUACUAGAAGGUGAUGAUUGGAACCGCUCUUAACACAAGUGAGAUGAAGAAACUUGUCACCCACAUGGGGGAGAUGGACCAGCCCUGGAGCUGUCCCCACGGAAGGCCCACCGUGAGGCACCUUGCCAAUCUGGACAUCAUUUCGCAG